GUGGACGUAGCUCAAUUGGUUAGAGCGUCGGACUGUGGAUCCGAUGGUUGCGAGUUCGAGUCUCGUCGUCCACCCCA
rnacentral:tRNA from 1 species